rnacentral:Y_RNA from 1 species
UGCUGGUUGGAGUUGGGUGGUGUUUAUAACUAAUUGAUCACAACCAGUUACAGAUUGCUUUGUUCCUUCUCCAAUUCCACUGCUUCAUUUGGCUAGCAAAAA